GAAGCAACAAAUGCCCUGCUUCCAGGAAAAGCCUCUAAGCAUCAGGUAACAUCAAAUCGUACCCCAAACCGACACAGGUGGUCAGGUAGAGAAUACCAAGGCGCUUGAGAGAACUCGGGUGAAGGAACUAGGCAAAAUGGUGCCGUAACUUCGGGAGAAGGCACGCUGACACGUAGGUGAAGUGAUUUACUCACGGAGCUGAAGUCAGUCGAAGAUACCAGCUGGCUGCAACUGUUUAUUAAAAACACAGCACUGUGCAAACACGAAAGUGGACGUAUACGGUGUAACGCCUGCCCGGUGCCGGAAGGUUAAUUGAUGGGGUCAGCGCAAGCGAAGCUCCUGAUCGAAGCCCCGGUAAACGGCGGCCGUAACUAUAACGGUCCUAAGGUAGCGAAAUUCCUUGUCGGGUAAGUUCCGACCUGCACGAAUGGCGUAAUGAUGGCCAGGCUGUCUCCACCCGAGACUCAGUGAAAUUGAACUCGCUGUGAAGAUGCAGUGUACCCGCGGCAAGACGGAAAGACCCCGUGAACCUUUACUAUAGCUUGACACUGAACAUUGAGCCUUGAUGUGUAGGAUAGGUGGGAGGCUUUGAAGUGUGGACGCCAGUCUGCAUGGAGCCGACCUUGAAAUACCACCCUUUAAUGUUUGAUGUUCUAACGUGGACCCGUAAUCCGGGUUGCGGACAGUGUCUGGUGGGUAGUUUGACUGGGGCGGUCUCCUCCUAAAGAGUAACGGAGGAGCACGAAGGUUGGCUAAUCCUGGUCGGACAUCAGGAGGUUAGUGCAAUGGCAUAAGCCAGCUUGACUGCGAGCGUGACGGCGCGAGCAGGUGCGAAAGCAGGUCAUAGUGAUCCGGUGGUUCUGAAUGGAAGGGCCAUCGCUCAACGGAUAAAAGGUACUCCGGGGAUAACAGGCUGAUACCGCCCAAGAGUUCAUAUCGACGGCGGUGUUUGGCACCUCGAUGUCGGCUCAUCACAUCCUGGGGCUGAAGUAGGUCCCAAGGGUAUGGCUGUUCGCCAUUUAAAGUGGUACGCGAGCUGGGUUUAGAACGUCGUGAGACAGUUCGGUCCCUAUCUGCCGUGGGCGCUGGAGAACUGAGGGGGGCUGCUCCUAGUACGAGAGGACCGGAGUGGACGCAUCACUGGUGUUCGGGUUGUCAUGCCAAUGGCACUGCCCGGUAGCUAAAUGCGGAAGAGAUAAGUGCUGAAAGCAUCUAAGCACGAAACUUGCCCCGAGAUGAGUUCUCCCUGAGACUUAGAGUCUCCUGAAGGAACGUUGAAGACGACGACGUUGAUAGGCCGGGUGUGUAAGCGCAGCGAUGCGUUGAGCUAACCGGUACUAAUGAACCGUGAGGCUUAACCUUACAACGCCGAAG
rnacentral:rRNA from 1 species